ensembl:lncRNA
UAAGGAAAAAAUGCAGUAAAAACAGUAAUACUGUGAAAGAGUAUUUCAAUUAAAAAAAAGAAAUAUUUUCUAUUAUGAACAUAUUUUUUAACAUGCAAUUUAUUCCUGUGAUGCAAAGCUGAAUUUUUAGCAUCAUUACUUCAGUCUUCAGUGUCACAUGAUAUGCUGAUUUGCUGCUCAACAAACAUAUCUUAUUAUUAUUAUUAUCAAUGUUAAAAAACAGUUGUGCUGCUGAAAAAAAGAACUAAAUCCGUUUCUCUUUAUAGCGACUCACAGCGUGACCUGCAGCAAUAAAAUCAAUAUCAACAUGAACGAGCAGAAAGCGAGAAAUGGAAAGAGUCUGUCAGCACCCACUCAGUGUUAAUUCCUCAUCAUUCAACUCCAACAGAAACACCACAGCAGCUCUGGCAUCUGCUACGCCCAGAGUUUGUGUCUGCAAGGUGGCAUGCUGCCAGAUCUCACAGCUGCCAGAGAGAGACAUAGAAAAAGGGGGGAAAUAAACCACCGCACAACUGGAAUGCAGUCAACAGUCAGUCUCAGGCGUCUGUGACGUCACAAUCAGGCAUCUGCAUCGCUGCUGCGAGAAACCUUCACCCUGAUCACUCUUUUCAAUGUAAACACUGCACAUCCCGAGUCACUAUAUCAAUACCCAAAACGCGAGAGACCUCAAAAGUUCAAAACUCAUUUUACACUAUCAAAGAAGGUAGAAUAUCUUCUUCAUUGUCAUUUUGAGUAGCAGCUCCAGCUUUUAGUAUGCUGAGUCCACGUUGCAUCUUAUUCUGGUCUUUAAUCUAUAUAUGGCUUAUUUAUAAUUAAAUCGUUAGCUGGAAUUAAAAAAAAAAAAAAGUAUUUUGCAGGCUGCAAAAAAUAUUUCAGUGUCUCAGAAUGACUUGGUUCAUUUACUUUUUUUCUAUAUAGAUGCACUCGAACAAAAUCACCCCACUUUUUCUAGAAAAAAGAAAAAAAAAAAAACUUUCAAAAUUUAUUCAAGUCAUCUAGUAAAAAUUCCUGUAUUUUUUCCUAUUGCAAUACAUACUGUGGAAAAACUAAAUAUUGCAAGUCAGUUUUUUCUUCCAAUCUUGUGCAGCCCUACGUCACUUUAAAAGUUUGCAAAUCUUGCCCAAGAUAUUUGCAUCAUUCCAAACGUAAGAGAAACAGUGUAGACGUUUUUCCCAUACACCUACGAGUCUUUGUAAACUUCUGUGGUGACGUGCAGUGAGUAAAAAUGAAAAUAAAUCAAUGAAGGAAUGUAUGAAGGCCA